UACGAAGGGGGCUAGCGUUGUUCGGAAUUACUGGGCGUAAAGCGCGCGUAGGCGGUGAUCCAUGUCAGAGGUGAAAGCCUGGGGCUCAACUCCAGAAUUGCCUUUGAAACGGGAUCGCUAGAGUCCGAGAGAGGAUGGCGGAAUUCCUAGUGUAGAGGUGAAAUUCGUAGAUAUUAGGAAGAACACCGGUGGCGAAGGCGGCCAUCUGGCUCGGUACUGACGCUCAGGCGCGAAAGCGUGGGGAGCAAACAGGG
rnacentral:rRNA from 1 species